AUUGAACGCUGGCGGCAUGCCUUACACAUGCAAGUCGAACGCGAAAGGGGGGCAACCCCUGAGUAGAGUGGCGCACGGGUGAGUAAUGCAUCGGAACGUGUCCUGUAGCGGGGGAUAACCUAGCGAAAGCUAGGCUAAUACCGCAUACGCCCUAAGGGGGAAAGUGGGGGAUCGUAAGACCUCACACUAUAGGAGCGGCCGAUGCCGGAUUAGCUAGUUGGUGGGGUAAAAGCUCACCAAGGCGACGAUCCGUAGCUGGUCUGAGAGGAUGAUCAGCCACACUGGGACUGAGACACGGGCCAGACUCGUAAGGGAGGCAGCAGUGGGGAAUUUUGGACAAUGGGGGAAACCCUGAUCCAGCCAUGCCGCGUGAGUGAAGAAGGCCUUCGGGUUGUAAAGCUCUUUCGGCCGGGACGAAAUCGCACGCGUGAAUACCGUGUGCGGAUGACGGUACCGGCAGAAGAAGGACCGGCUAACUACGUGCCAGCAGCCGCAGUAA
rnacentral:rRNA from 1 species